rnacentral:rRNA from 1 species
UACCAGCGACCCCGAGUGGUCGGGACGUUUAUUGGGCCUAAAGCAUCCGUAGCCGGUUCUACAAGUCUUCCGUUAAAUCCAACUGCUUAACAGGUGGGCUGCGGAAGAUACUAUAGAGCUAGGAGGCGGGAGAGGAAGCGGUACUCGAUGGGUAGGGGUAAAAUCCGUUGAUCCAUUGAAGACCACAGUGGCGAAGGCGGCUUGCCAGAACGCGCUCGACGGUGAGGAUGAAAGCUGGGGGAGCAAAGCCG